rnacentral:rRNA from 1 species
GUCUUUUUGAUUUUUAUAUAAGGUCUAGCCUGCCCAAUGAAAAAAAUUAAAUGGCCGCGGUACCCUGACCGUGCAAAGGUAGCAUAAUAAUUAGUUUUUUAAUUGAAAGCUGGAAUGAAAGGUUGGAUAAGAAAAUAACUGUCUCUUAAAAAUUUUAUUAGAAUUUUAUUUUUAAGUAAAAAAGCUUAAAUUUUAUUUAAAGACGAGAAGACCCUUUAGAGUUUUAUAUUUAAUUAUAGAUUUUAUUUUUUAGAAUUAAUUUAAUAAGGUAUAUAGUUGUUAUUUGGUUGGGGCGAUUAAAAAAUUUAAAUAACUUUUUUUAUUAUUUUACAUUAAUAUAUGAAAAAUUGAUCCAAAGAUUUUGAUUAUAAGAAUAAAUUACCUAAGGGAUAACAGCGUUAUUUUUUUUGAGAGUUCAUAUCGAAAAAAAAGAUUGCGACCUCGAUGUUGGAUUAAAAUUAAAUUGUGGUGUAGAAGCUAUGAGAUUAGGUCUGUUCGACCUUUAAAAUUUUACA